AAACUGAAUAACAACACUCGGACUGCGCUGAGGCUGCGCAACAUUGACACGCAUAACUGCGGCUCGUUCUCAGAUAAGGAAGUGACUAAGGAGGUGAAAUUUUGAAAUUUGGCGGUAUUUCAGCGGAACAAACAGCCGCGAUGUCCAAACUAAGGAGAAAGAAAGCGGCGGCGGAGGAGAACAAACCCGGAGCGAAGUCGGGUUGCAGGGAUCUGCGGAAGAGUCUACUCAGUUCUGACGGAGACUCAUCCAGCACGAGCAGCGGGUCAGAGCGAGUUCUGAUUAGUUCUAUUUCUGGCGGUUCUUGUGUUCUAUAAACAUGUUCUCGCCCACUAGAUCACUGUUUUAUGUGGCUGUAGUUUCGAAUUAUCCCUUCUACCUUAAAUGCUGCAGCAGCUUAUCCUUUUGUUCUUGCUCUAUUUCUGGUCCUGUAGGUCCAGCAGGCCCUGGUGGGCUGCAGCUGAUCUGGCAGCGGUGGAGAAACUGUGGGCGCUCACCCUGCAGGCCUUCUGUCCAGCAGUGUCCAGCACUCCUGCCAUGGUCUUCUGGGUUCCAGAGCUACCAGAGACCCCCACGUGGGCAGAGCAGGAGGAGCCGAGCGAGCGGCACUGGUGUUGUCUGGAUGAAGAUGUGAGUGAACUUCCUGCUCUAAGUGACUCACUGGGCUGCGUCCAAAUGCACAGUGAACCACACUUCUCUCCUAAUGAAGGGAACCGCCAGCCUGAAGCUUCAGCUCAGCUGCUGAGUGAAACGGGAGGUGAAUGGCAAACACUGAGCAGUCCUCAGCGCCACCUAGAGGACAUUCAGGCUCACUGUUUAGGAGAUGCAGGAUCGUUACACAGAUGGACCGAAAAGCCUGACUGGUCUGAGGGUGGAGAGUGUAAGCGGUAUGGGGACAGAGGCAGGUUACUGACGGGAACUCAAAAACCUGGAGGUGCGAAGGCGAGAGAGAGGAUCAAGCAUGGUUCCCAUGGCGACGGAGCUGAGAGCACAAAACUACAAGGGAGAAAGUUGGCAGGAAGAGAAUCUGAAAGAAAAUCCAGAGCGGAGUGUGAUAAAGCUGAAUCUGGGUCAUCUAAAUCCAGAACAGGAUCCGGAACGGGUUCCGAUGGUGCAGUAAGAGGAGGAUCUGGAUCCGCAGUUUUCCUCCUGGAGAACAACAGUGAGUGUAAAGCUGGGACAUCCAGAGGAGGAUCCGGAUCAGGAUUAGCAGAACCAAAGCUGGAGUGCUGUCCAAUGUGCCUGAUGCCGUUUCCUGCAGGGUGAGACUGUUUAUGCUAGUAGUUGAGCUAACAGUGCUAACACUGGUCAUAAUGA
ensembl:lncRNA